UUCCAGGACAGCCCUGGGUGC
rnacentral:misc_RNA from 1 species